AUGACCAGCAUGACCAAUCCUGUGACAAAAACAACUUACGGCUACAAGGAAGACAUGUACAUCAAGUACACGAGAGCCGUGUACACCGAGAUGAGGAAUAGGAUGAGAAAGCCAAUACUAUUCCACGCAAAGCGUACAGUAGAUCCAACUAAGUACCUUGUGCACUACCACAACAAGCCUGGCCAUGAUGAUGAAGAAAGAUUUUCCUGGUCAAAGCAUGAAUUCCAGGUUGUAGCUGACCCAGAGAAUGAAAUAUAUGAGUGUGAAUGCAAGCUCUAG
rnacentral:rRNA from 1 species